rfam:Triticum aestivum genome assembly, contig: Triticum_aestivum_CS42_TGACv1_scaffold_271825_3DS
CAAGUACUCCCUCCAUCCCAAAAUUCUUGUCUUAAAUUCGUCUAGAUACGGAUGUAUCUCAUACUAAAACGUGACUUGAUACAUCCGUAUUUAGACAAAUCUAAGACAAGAAUUUUGGGACGGAGGGAGUAUUAA